CAACAUAAAAUAGUGAGGUGUCCAUGAAAGCCAUCACUAAAUACAGGGCAAGUGCUAAAGAUAAGAAUUACAAAGAAGAUGAGGGUACCUAUUAUGAAGUAGUAAAACAGAUAAUUGAGUUGGAUUACACUGUCUUUCGUCAAACGGUUUUUUAUUGUGAUUGGGUCAGAGUGGAAGACAAGACCAAUGGAUGUAUUGUUGAUCCCGAGUCAAAUUUGGUAAUGGUAAAUAUGAAGAAAUUGAAAGGACAUGAGAAAAAGGAGAUGAACCAUUCAUACUUGCAUCCCAAGCAAGUCAAGUAUUCUACUCCAAGGAUCAAAUAAGGCCUGGAUGGUAUGUUGUUUUAAUGUCACCAAAAAUAUUGACGAAAGACGUGGACACACUUGAAGAUCCGACUUUGUUUUCCUCUUCUGGGGGCGAGAAUACAUAUUUAAAAAAUAUUAUAAAGGAAAUUGGCUACGAGUUAUAGGUGAGCUGGGACAUGUCAAUAGUCGAGGAGAACGUGUCAACUUCAUAAGCACAUGCAUCAAAAAAUGCAGGAACUUCAUCGUCGUAAAAAAAUAAGCCUGUAAUUAGCUUAAAUGCAUUUAGACUACCUGUGGGCGAACACUCACAUAGGUUGACUACAAGAAGUGGAGAGUUGGUUCACACCCAUGUCUCUAUUGCCAUCAAGGAUUGACUUACAAUGCCAAUGAGUAAGAAAGAAGAACUUUGGAA